AAUCCUACUUCUGCUCCUUAUUAUCCUAGAACUUUGGGCAUAUCAUUACCUAAACUUUUUGGGUCCUCAGUCUUUUCCUAUAUAAAAUAAAGGGUGUGAACUAAAUGAUCUCUGAGAUCUUUUCUAGCUCUAAAUCUGUAAUCCAAUUUCCUCUUCUCUGCUUCCCCCCAAAAUUACCCUCCCAAUCCCUGAUAAAGAAAAAGUUGGGAGAAGCUUGAACAAUGGCAGGGGAUAGAGUCCGGGUAUGUUAGGGGUAGGUGUGAUUGUAUUAUAGAUAAGCCCCAGGAAUGGUUAUUGUGAGGGGGGUAAGAUAUGACCCUUCUUUCCACCCCAAGCCACAGCUAUGUCCCUUUCUUCAGAGACCAUUGUUCUGAGGAUUAAAAGAGUUUCUUUUAGCACUCAUGGAGAGAUUAUUCAUAUCAAUGAAAUAAUAAAUCUUUAGAAUAUAAUAUGGAAAUAUAUAAGUACCAAGCAAGUGGCCUGGGCAAUAGUUUAUCUAGGACUUGGCUCUCAUGUUUUCUUACAGACCUAAAUUCCAACUCAUUGGCAAAGGACUGAUAGCCCACUCAACCCCACAUUGCCACAUAAAUCAAGUGAUUCUGAAAUUUCUUUCCUCCAAUCAAGUUUGGCAAAAAGACAACAGCUCCAUCGAGGGGAAAUUCUGCGCCAUCCCGUUGCCUGCUGACCACAGCACGAUGAUGUGGUGUGUUUCUGAAUUGAUGACCUUGAAAACAAAUGAAAUUACUCCUGCAAAUCUGGAAAUACCAUGUGCAUAAUAUAAUACCUGGAGAUCUUUGGGGAGGAAUGAAUGCUUUUGUAAGAGACUCCUAAGCAUCUUAUAAGAGACUGCUCUCAUCCUCCUAAGAAUAAUAUUUAUCUGCUAUUAUCUACUAAGUAGCACAAAACUGUCACUCAGUAUUUUUAUUGAUGUAUUUUGUUUAGAUCUAUGAGCCUACUAGUUCCCAAAAAACAGUGCUCUCCCUUGCCCUGGACCUUUCUGUUACAAAACAACAAUUAAGCAAAGCCGUCUAAGAGAGCUAUUGUGACUGUGUAUGUACUUUCCCACUCCUCUAGUUGCUUUCUUCUUAAUUGAAAAGAAAUGCUAUCUGGAACCAACACUGACCAUUGCGUUUGACCCAAAUUCCUUUGCCUUUUAGUGUUGUCUUCAUUUGUAUUAUUAAAAUCAUUAUACAUAUAUUA